CAGUCGCCGCGGUAAUACGAAGGGGGCUAGCGUUGCUCGGAAUUACUGGGCGUAAAGGGAGCGUAGGCGGACAUUUAAGUCAGGGGUGAAAUCCCAGAGCUCAACUCUGGAACUGCCUUUGAUACUGGGUGUCUUGAGUGUGAUAGAGGUAUGUGGAACUCCGAGUGUAGAGGUGAAAUUCGUAGAUAUUCGGAAGAACACCAGUGGCGAAGGCGACAUACUGGAUCAUUACUGACGCUGAGGCUCGAAAGCGUGGGGAGCAAACAGGAUUAGAUACCCCCGUAGUCCCUGUCUCUUAUAA
rnacentral:rRNA from 1 species